UACAGAGGUGGCAAGCGUUGUUCGGAAUUACUGGGCGUAAAGGGCGCGUAGGCGGCCUUCUAAGUCAGACGUGAAAUCCCCCGGCUUAACCUGGGAACUGCGUCUGAUACUGGGAGGCUAGAGUGCGGGAGAGGGAUGCGGAAUUCCAGGUGUAGCGGUGAAAUGCGUAGAUAUUGGGAAGAACACCGGUGGCGAAGGCGGCGCUCUGGACCGAUACUGACGCUGAGGCGCGAAAGCGUGGGGAGCAAACAGG
rnacentral:rRNA from 1 species